CUAUCAUUCCCACAAUGGCACCUCUGUAGGUUGCAGCAAGGGAGAAGAACUUCUUGUUGGAUGUGAUAUCACGAUACCAUGAGUCUGGGUACCUGAGGGAGAGAGCACACUCAGAAGGGUCCUACCCAGUGCCAGGAAGAGGGAUGACUGCAGAGUCCACGAGGAAUCUAAGCAGAUGGGCCCACUGUGUCUGUCACCUUCAAUCCAUUAGGAGAAGAUAAUAUUCUGUCUGACACUAUACCACAGUCCAUGCUUCGAUGAACCUAAUUCACCAAGGGUGCUUCCAUCCUUACUCUGAAGGCUUCCUUGACAGAAGAGCCAGGUCAAAUAAAUUUGUCAUUCUCUUCUCCUGCUAA